rnacentral:rRNA from 1 species
GUGUCAGCCGCCGCGGUAAAACGUAGGAGACAAACGUUAUCCGGAGUUACUGGGCGUAAAGGGCGUGUAGGCGGUCUGUUAAGUCUGGCGUGAAAGCUCUCGGCUAAACCGGGAGAGGUCGUUGGAUACUGGCACGACUGGAGGAUGGUAGAGGCGUGUGGAAUUCCGGGUGUAGUGGUGAAAUGCGUAGAGAUCCGGAGGAACACCAGUGGCGAAGGCGACACGCUGGGCCAUACCUGACGCUAAAGCGCGACAGCAUGGGGAGCAAACGGGAUUAGAAACCCGUGUAGUCC